rfam:Streptomyces sp. Ncost-T6T-2b genome assembly, contig: Ga0115255_12175
GCCUCCGUAGCUCAGGGGAUAGAGCACAGCUCUCCUAAAGCUGGUGUCGCAGGUUCGAAUCCUGCCGGGGGCA